AUUGAACGCUGGCGGCAUGCUUUACACAUGCAAGUCGAACGGCAGCGCGGGGGCAACCCUGGCGGCGAGUGGCGAACGGGUGAGUAAUAUAUCGGAACGUACCCAGAAGUGGGGGAUAACGUAGCGAAAGUUACGCUAAUACCGCAUACGAUCUACGGAUGAAAGUGGGGGACCUUCGGGCCUCAUGCUUUUGGAGCGGCCGAUAUCUGAUUAGCUAGUUGGUGAGGUAAAGGCUCACCAAGGCGACGAUCAGUAGCUGGUCUGAGAGGACGACCAGCCACACUGGAACUGAGACACGGUCCAGACUCCUACGGGAGGCAGCAGUGGGGGAAUUUUGGACAAUGGGGGGCAACCCUGAUCCAGCAAUGCCGCGUGAGUGAAGAAGGCCUU
rnacentral:rRNA from 1 species